AUCAGCAGCCAUACAACCUGCCAUCUGAAGCUAAGCAGAUUUGGGCCUGGCCAGUACUUAGAUGGGAGACCAACUAGGAAAGACGGGUUGCUGCUAGAA
rnacentral:rRNA from 1 species